rnacentral:ncRNA from 1 species
AGGAGUGAUUUAGGAAAGGCUAGAGUUAAAAUGUUGGGACCCGAAAGAUGGUGAACUAUGCUUGUGGUGUUUGAAGCCGAAGGAAACUUUGGUGGAAGGACUUAGGAGUGUUACCGUACAAAUUACUUGCAAUAUAUGAUGAUUGGUAAAGAUAAUGAUUGGAUGUAAUGGAGAGCUUGAUUUUUCAACAAUUUAACAAACUAUGAAUAGUCGAGAUAUCCUAAACGAUAAACAUUUAUUAGGAAUGAGCAUAUGCGGACUUCAAAUCGGCCAAGUUUUGUAAGCAGGACUGGCGAUGCGGGAUGAACCGAACAUACAGAUAAAGUAUCCAAGUCUUGCAUGAGGAGAACCAUAAAAGGUGUUCAUUCAUAUUGACAAUAGGACGAUGGCCAUGGAAGUUGGAAAUCGCUAAGGAGUGUGUAACAACUCACCUAUCGAAUGGAUGAGCCCUGAAAAUGGAAGGUAUUAUAAUGAGAGAGAGUGAUACUGUAUCCUUGUGGAGGCUGAGGCACACGAGGAGUAAGGAAAUGCAUGGUGUCAAGAAUACGUGAGUGAUAAAGGUAGAGAAGUAAUUUCUAUUGAAACAGACUUGAGUACAGAUCU